CCUACGGGUGGCAGCAGUGGGGAAUAUUGGACAAUGGGGGCAACCCUGAUCCAGCCAUGCCGCGUGUGUGAAGUAGGCCCUCGGGUUGUAAAGCACUUUCAGUGAGGAAGAACGCCUGGUGGUUAAUACCCAUCAGGAAAGACAUCACUCACAGAAGAAGCACCGGCUAACUCCGUGCCAGCAGCCGCGGUAAUACGGAGGGUGCGAGCGUUAAUCGGAAUUACUGGGCGUAAAGCGCGCGUAGGUGGCUUGAUAAGCCGGUUGUGAAAGCCCCGGGCUCAACCUGGGAACGGCAUCCGGAACUGUCAAGCUAGAGUGCAGGAGAGGAAGGUAGAAUUCCCGGUGUAGCGGUGAAAUGCGUAGAGAUCGGGAGGAAUACCAGUGGCGAAGGCGGCCUUCUGGACUGACACUGACACUGAGGUGCGAAAGCGUGGGUAGCAAACAGGAUUAGAUACCCUGGUAGUC
rnacentral:rRNA from 1 species